rnacentral:rRNA from 1 species
UACGUAGGGUGCAAGCGUUGUCCGGAAUUAUUGGGCGUAAAGAGCUCGUAGGUGGUUCGGUAAGUCGGGUGUGAAACCUCCAGGCUCAACCUGGAGACGCCACCCGAUACUGCUGUGACUGGAGUCCGGUAGGGGAGCGUGGAAUUCCUGGUGUAGCGGUGAAAUGCGCAGAUAUCAGGAGGAACACCGGUGGCGAAGGCGGUUCUCUGGGAAUAUCCUGACGCUGAGGAGCGAAAGUGUGGGGAGCGAACAGG